GACGAACGCUGGCGGCGUGCUUAACACAUGCAAGUCGAACGGAAAGGCCCUGCUUUUGUGGCGUGCUCGAGUGGCGAACGGGUGAGUAACACGUGAGUAACCUGCCCUUGACUUUGGGAUAACUUUAGGAAACUGGGGCUAAUACCGGAUAGGAGCUCCUGCUGCAUGGUGGGGGUUGGAAAGUUUCGGCGGUUGGGGAUGGACUCGCGGCUUAUCAGCUUGUUGGUGGGGUAGUGGCUUACCAAGGCUUUGACGGGUAGCCGGCCUGAGAGGGUGACCGGCCACAUUGGGACUGAGAUACGGCCCAGACUCCUACGGGAGGCAGCAGUGGGGAAUAUUGCACAAUGGGCGGAAGCCUGAUGCUGCAACGCCGCGUGCGGGAUGACGGCCUUCGGGUUGUAAACCGCUUUCGCCUGUGACGAAGCGUGAGUGACGGUAAUGGGUAAAGAAGCACCGGCUAACUACGUG
rnacentral:rRNA from 1 species